UACGUAGGCAGCGAGCGUUGUUCGGAAUUACUGGGCGUAAAGAGUGUGUAGGCGGUGUUCCCAGUCUGUUGUGAAAUCUCCCGGCUUAACUGGGAGGGUGCAGCGGAAACUAGAAUGCUAGAGGGUGGGAGAGGUAAGCGGAAUUCCUGGUGUAGCGGUGAAAUGCGCAGAUAUCAGGAGGAACACCGGUGGCGAAGGCGGGUCUCUGGGUAGUAACUGACGCUGAGGAACGAAAGCGUGGGUAGCGAACAGG
rnacentral:rRNA from 1 species